UACGGAGGAGGCAAGCGUUAUCCGGAAUUAUUGGCGUAAAGCGUCCGCAGGUGGCACCUCAAGUCUGCUGUCAAAGACCGGGGCUUAACCCCAGAAAGGCAGUGGAAACUGAAGUGCUAGAGUGCAGUAGGGGUAGAGGGAAUUCCCGGUGUAGCGGUGAAAUGCGUAGAGAUCGGGAAGAACAUCGGUGGCGAAGGCGGCCUGCUGGGCAGUAGCUGACACUGAGGCGCGACAGCGUGGGAGCAAACAGG
rnacentral:rRNA from 1 species